AUGGAUCAAGACUGCGACCAUCACUUCAACCAACAGACAUCGAAAUUGCAACUAUGAAGUCUCGUCGCUGGAUCCAAGGGUGGUAAUAUCUUUCUACCCUUAUCCUUUAUUUCUCUUUCUCUUUUUCUUCUCCUAUCUUUCUCUCUUUCUUCUCCUAAUUUCUUCUUCUCAAAAUAUAUCCUGAGUCAGACUAAAACAUUCUCGUCAAUGCCUUAGUAAGUGCCUUGUUGAAUCUGGAUAAGUUAAAGUUGACUAAGUUUAAGUUUGCUAAGCUAAAGUUUGUGAAGUGCCUUGCUUUGUCUGGAUGUUGUUUUAGAAUUUGCCAAGUAUCCAAGAAUUUGGUUUAUUCAUCUUAAUGUUCUAAAGUUUACAAGUAAAAGUUUGUUACUGAAUCUCCCGAGAUUUUGUUAUUUCUCCCCACAUUGCCCAGAGUGAAUCAAACAAUCUUCUCCUAAACCUGCUGAGCAGAUUGGAGCAUAAAAGUUAGUUAAAGAAAGGAAGAAUGGUAUGAGCUCUAGAGGAGGAACACCCCUAUGAACAGCUGAAGAGGAGAGUGGCAAUGUUUUAACCCCCAAACUUGAAUGCUUCACAUGUGUCGCCACACCAAUAAAACGAGAAGAACCAACUGCAUCUCGGAGAGUGUCAGCUUCCUCUUCAUCGCCGCUCUUAGCAAAACCUAACGGUGCAAGAAAAACACAAACCCACUCUCAACGACAGUCUCCGCCAAGCAGUGCUUUCAACUUAACUCGAGGAGGAAUAUGUCACUUCACUGGAGAAACCACCGAAAUUCCGCAGCACUUUUCACUACUAGCAACUUAUUGUAUCUCCAUCUUUCCCAACGAUCCUGCUCUGUGCAAAGAGGCAACGUAUGAUCAGAAGUGGCAUGUGAGCCGGCGCAUCAGAUGCUUUCCUGUUCCGUGAUGUGAAAGCCCCAAGACGAAGAGGAACAAAAAAUAAAAACUUGGCUUAAUGACUCUACAACAGAGCAUGAGAAACAAAAGAAGGAAGAAAAGCUCUUGGGCUGUCAAGACAAUUUGUUACUUCCAACUUGGAGGUAUUUCAUAACUUGCAGACUGGGGAAAGAGAAAGAAUGAGCUGAAUGGCUUUAUUUUAAAAUAACCAGUAAAAUGACAGCCUAAACUGUGGGACAUGACAAAGAUGAAGACACAAGUGCAGAAACUGAAAUCUGAAGAACAUUUAUUCAGCAGCUAACUAACCUUGGGUGUGUUUAAGGCAAGUUGGACAGCCCUAUGGGGCAUCCCAAAUCACAGGGAAGCUGAGUAGAGAGAAAGACUACUGUGACAGUGUGAGAAAUAAGAGGUUUCAAAAUUGGGAUCCAGAGCCACAUGUUCCACAUUCCAAUGGGAAGAGAAGCAUUUCCAAGCCUAUCAUGCUCGGAAGCCAUGGGUGAAAGGACGGGUGCCUGAACAGGCUGAGGAAAAGAGGCUCUUGGUGGGUCUCCAGUCUUAAAUGACAGCAUGGGAUUUUGUGUUAUUGGUGAGAAAUCAGGCAGCUGGAAGCCAAGAUGUUUAAUAGAAUAGGUAAAGUAUAUUCCAGCCCUUGAGGUACUCUUUGAUUUCUCCUUUCUUCAAACAAUUUUCCUGACCUUCUUGAAGCUUCCUUCUGCUCUGCUGUUUGGCUCACUCUGCUCUCACCACACUCCUCAGCUCACACCAGUUGCUCUAUUUGGGAAAGAUAAUUUCAUUUUAUAUUGGUAGAGCAAGGCAAGGCAAUGUGACAGACAGAAAGCCACAGAAACUUUUGCUGGGCAUGGUUUUGUGGAGACCUUUGCAUCCCAAUAUUCGUAUGCACACACUGUUUUCCUCUUUCCUCUCAACCAACCCCAAAUCAGAAGAAGAAAAUAUUUCUGAAAAAAAAAGUAUUGUGCAACUCUAUAAAUUAAUUUCAAGCCAAAUCUGUUUGGGUCCCCAAAGUAUAGGCAACAACACUGGCAACUAUUGUAAUAGGAUCUGCAGCGAGCAGUUCAAGGGAGUCAAGGUGGUUGACAGCUCUCUCUGGGCUAAUAACCACUGAAGCUGAGCCAUUUUUUUCUCCUGCUGCAGUACCCCUACAGGAGCUUAAAAGAGCAACACAAACUUCUGCUUUUUCUCCACUUUGAAAAUACCUACAUUAUUACCUGUUUAGAGACCUCCAGGGCACUUCUGUGCUUUCUAACCAGAUUUUGGUGGUAUAUCAACAUCUGCACAAUGAGGCAUAUGUCACCCUUGCAACAGACUUUCCCUGCCUUUCUAUUCCUUUUAAGUCAUCACAUAAUUAAAAAAAGAAAUACAAGUAAGAUAUGAUAUUGGAAAAAAGCAAAAGUACUUUGUUUAGACUCAAGAACAGUUCCCAAGACCUGAGGAGCAUUUCUGAAAUUGCAGAGGGAACUUUUCUUUGUUCCAAAAUCUAGGUUUUCACACAUUCCCUGACUGAUUCAUGGAAUAGUCAGUAAGCUGAUGGAAUAGCCCUCAUGGAUUUAAAAGGAUUAUACCAAUUAAAUUAGCUUCAACACUGGCAACACAUUAAAAUCACCAAAAUCAUUCCACACUUCAGAAGUCAUAAAGUUAUUUAAGCCUAAACCAGAUUGUAUAUUCUGUCAUAGUAUAUUAAGAAACAACUGACUCCUUUUUUUAAUUUACAAUAAGCUCUGGGCUGAAAAUCUAUUCUUUGCCCACAUGGUUUCUCUAUACUUUUUCCCCUCAACUUUUCUUGCCCCCUCAUUUUUUACCUUACUCAAAGGAAAUCUUGUUCUGUACAAAUUUGGCAGACCUAAACCCACAAGAACAUUAUACAAAGAGCUCAGAGAUAAUAAAUUAUAGCCAAAUGGGCUAAGGUAGACAUUUGAAUAGGUAAAAUAGGUCUGAAGCCAAGGCUUUCUUCAAGUUUCAGCAAAUAGAACACGAAACAAUGGAAAGUUCAGAAGUUCACCAGAGGUCACUGACGAAGAGGAGUAAAAUUGAGACUCUCUGAUGAAGUAAGACCGGAUGUAACCCCAGACCAUUCCCCUAAAUGAAGACCACACCUCAAAACCCUUCUCUCAGCAGCAUGUAUUUUCCUUAAUGCAAAGAGUCUCCUCAAGAAGCAAUGCACCGAUGUCUUCAGUGGAAUUUGGUGCUCAGUGUAUGCAGUAUUUAGAUGUGCUGUGAAUAUCAAGUCAUCCAUAAGUGUGCUCAUUCCAACAGUGCAAAUCAGCAACAUUCUGAACAGAUUUUUCGUCACAGAAAAAAUUUUUUAGUUCAUCUUCCAUGAACUCUAGUACUGUUUUACUAUCACAGUAAUACAAAUCUGUCCACCUAAACUUAUGGGAACAUGUUCUUCAUUCUAUCACAAGCCAGACUAACCUUAAAAGUUAGGAUUUUUUCAUUAUUUACUUCACCACAGCUGCGCUCCAACUCCAUUAGUGCUUUAAGUACAGUCGGCCAGCCAGCUGUGCAACUGCUCUGUCAGCAACACAGAAUCUUUUAAACUCAAAACAAUAAAACGUUUAAAGAUGUGUCAAAUUCUUCAGUGGUAAACAGAAUACUGAAUGGGAGCAACGUUUGCUGGUUAAUGAUGGGAGAGAGAUAUCAUUUCCUACCCAUGAAAACAGAUGAAUCUUUUUAGGACUUGCAUUGUCAUACUACCGCAUCCUAAUUUGCAGCACACAGCACUGCAUGAAGAAAGAUUCACAUAAAAAAAGGCAUAACAUAACUGGGCUGAAUUCCACAGGCCUUUGUCAGGCAAAAGCGAUCACUCAGUUAAAGAGCACAGAAUUUGGCACACAGACCUUUGUCUCAUAUAGAAUGAUGUAUGGUUUUCUAAACUAUGAAAAUUUAAAACUAACCAAUUUCAUCUUCCCAUUUUAUGAACAAGUGGAAGUAUGAAUGUUUAUAUUCCUUCUAUAAUUCCCACUUCUAAUGCAACUGUAAAUAUUGUGAAGAGACAUAUUGAAGUUUAAGACUGUGGGCUCCUGUUUACAAUCUGUCUGCAAUAAUAUCUUGGGGAAAUGCCUGAUACAGGUUAAUUAUUUAACCUUUGCAAAAAAAUCAUGUGUAUUUUUUAUUUAGCUUCAAAUGAUUGAAUGUUCUCUUGCUGUGAGCAUCUAGGAACUGUGAACAUGAAGAACUAAAAGAGAGCCCAUGAAAUCAUCUAGAUUAAUCUGCCUCUCAGAGGCAGAUAAAUAUCACUUACUGCCAACUAGAAUGAUUCUCUGGUCUGUAACUUUUCAGUUUUAAGUUGUACACAACAGACAAACAACACCUGCUUUUAUUUUUUUUCCCUGAAAAAUAUUGAAGCGUUUAAUUCAGUAAGGAUUAAAUAUUCCUUAUUAAUUUUAAAUUGCAAAGGGGGCCAUUACAGAAAAUAGCCAGUUUCACUUAUCUUUACCACACCAACAGUGCCAUUCCAUGAUUCCUGAGUAACAUUAAGCAUAAUGUCAGCUUUCAAUUUUGAUAUCUCCAAAGUCAUUACUACAAUUUUUCCUGAGGUGAAAAAUUCCUGCUAUUUGUAGAGACACACGGGAAUUUUUUGCUUCCUUUUCUACAAAAGUGCCAGAAGGACAGGGUUGAUUUCAAGAAGAGUGAAAAAACUUCCCAGAAAAAUCUCUGAUGGGAAAGCAGAUUAGGCAAAAAAACUAUGAGCCUAAGCAUAGCCUCAUUUCCAUAUUCAAAUGGCUCAUCUAACAAGAUGAACAAGCCCUCAGAUACCAGGAAAGGUUGAGCUGACUUCCCUAUACAUUUGUACAGAAGCAAGCUCCUGCAGAAACAAGUUUCAUAGGCUGGAGCCAUUUACUAAGUCAGACUGAUACCCAGGAGUUAAUCCUCAUGAUGGAUAGCUUCAUCACUCAGAGCAUUUCCAGACUUUCACUAUCAAAUCUGAUAUACCCUCCAACAGCCUCUCUGAGCAAUGCAGGAAAUACUGUGCACAGGAGUCCCUUCUGACUAAAUUCAUUGCUACCCAGUUUCUGAUGAUGUAUAUGCCUGCUUAUAUUUCAUUCUUAAGUUUCCCAGUAAAUCUAUGAAUUCAGUUUGUAGGUGAUAGCCAUAAAUAAAAUGUUGGAUUAUAUACGAGGAUGAAGAGAAUAUAAAAAUCCAAGUAUUUUGGUCAAAGUUUGGAAACAAUGCUGUGGUUUUUCUAGGAAAAUUUGUGUGCUUUAAUCUGUAGUUGUCCUUUGUAGGUCAGUCUCUCCUCCUGGGGAAAGCACCUAUUUUCAUACAAAAGUUCUGUUUAGUCAAAAACCACUUCUGCAGUGAGCAGGCUCAAGUGUAAUUUUCCAUCAACCAUAAUACUAGCACAACAGUUGACCCUGAAAUUUAAAUUCCUCUUAGCAUGUAAAGUUUAUAGUCUGAUGUUUUUCAUUCUACUGUCUAAACCUCUUUUACAUGAAAGGAUGCAUCUCAAGGGAGAACAAAGUAAGAAUCAUUUAGUCAAGGGUAAAACAGUCCUUAUUCAUUAAAGGUGUGCUUUGGCAGCUGUUACAGUCUAUCAGGAAAGGAACCUUGCAAACUAAACAAGGUACAGUACCAUAGCACAAAAAUUAGAAUUGUUUGGUUGAGUCCUACCUCUGCAUCUCCAAAAUUUAAUCAGACUCUUAAUGUUCUCCUCUGGAUUCCUCUUCUGGUGGUUAAAAGUAGAGAUGAAUAAACAUUUAUAACAGACAUUUUAUUUUAAAUUAAACGUACUGGUGAAAAGCACCAGGUAGUCUUUUGAUGGAGCUCAGUACAGCAAAGCUCCAUUUUUCCCCAGGUGCAGCAGAGUUUCACAGGAGCAUCCAUUUUGUCAAACGUGAGGUCUCCUCAUGAAAACAAUCACUUUGCAGAAUGGGCUCCACUCCUCUAGGAAUCCCAAAACCAGGCUUGUACCACUAACAUCAUUUUAUCAGCACUUUAAUCACACAGGCUUCUGAAUCAAGCAUUAUUAAAGCAGUUCUUGUACUAUGAUACCAUGACAGUAUUCCUUCCAUCAAGCUCGUAGGCAGUAGUAUUGGUGUCAUAAAAGAUGAUUUUAUGCAGUAUUUAAAAAUAAAUACCUAAAUAAAUAGUUAAAGUGGAAAAGUAUUUAUUACCCAAGCUACUGAAGCACCAAGUAUGCUGUAUAUUUCACAGAAAAAAAAUUAUUUCAGACAAGUCAGAACUUGCCUCUUUUCUUAGGUUUCUUCCACAGUGAAUGAAAAAUUUACUUUUUUUUUUUUUCUGGUUAGAGUAUACAUCUUUAUGGAGGGUCUCCAACAGGCUGAACAGUGUCUGUACACCUGACGGCUCCAGCCACACACUGAGGCACAGCAGAGGGCAGGGCUUGCUGUCACAACAUGUUUUAGACCCUCAGGUUCAAAUUAGGCAGGACCUCUGGGUUUAGCAAUUAACUGCUCUGUGAUCCAGGAAUAUAAAUUCAUGCAUCAAUCAAUUAGAGUUUAUGUAGUCAAGCUUUUAUCCCUAGUUAUACCUAAAUUAAAAUAUAUCGGAAGGAGGCACGCAAGGUGAAGUAGCUUGUAUACAAUUGGAAGACUUAUUUUUACAAAACAAUCACCACAAAAAGAUCAGUUGCAUAAUUUGUCAAAUGCCACCUUCAACAGAAAAAAAAAUCAUAAUUUUAACAUAUUUUAUUGAGUAUUGAAAGUAAUGACAAUGGACAAUAUUUUGUUAUAACGACAAGCCCAUUUUUUGAAUGCAUGUUUCUUAACUGCCACAAUGUCUCAAUAGCAGUAAUUGAUGUGAAGCCAUUCUGGGAUAGCUUUCUAUCCUGUGUCAAAUGAGAUACAUAGAUACUCAUGGACUGUUUCUACACAUUCUUCAAGCCAUAGUAAUUUUUAUAGAACUACCUAGAAUCCUGGCACUCAGAAGAAUUUAAUACAAGGACUCUAACAAUAAGACUGUCUGGUUGCUCUUAUUUCAUACUAGAUUGAGGAAAAUAAAAACCAAACCACGAUGAUUCAUGUUUUCUACUCUUGCACUAGAUCCCCACUUUUCCUAUUUUUCUUUUCUCUCAGGCAAUAAAUACUUUCAAAUGUCUUCCUCCCCACACACCACAGCUAAGUUAAAGACUGAGCCCUUAGUAUUAAAGAUAAUUCAAUACUGUUUUUUUAUACAAAAUGUCAAAAAAAACCCAAAGAAAUUGGUUUCAGGAAGUCACUUUUCUUUGCUCUCUGAGAAUAUUAACAGGAACAUUUGAAUGAGUGUCCUUUCUUACUCACAGCAAUUUGGGUCUAUUUAUCUAUGCAGCAAUCUCUUGCAAUGUUGAGUAGGGUAAUAAAGAAGAAUGAAAUGGGGGUAGAAAGCAGACAACUAAUAAAAAGGUAAGCGAAUAAACAAAAGACAGAAAGAAAACUCCAAUUUCAUACUAUAUUUACAGAUCUUAAACAAACUACAUUAUCUAUAUUUAGAGUUUGGCCUUCAUAUCCCUGCUGAUCUACAGCUUACUAAAAAGCAAAAUGUACACAUUCUUCAUUUCUUUUAUGACUUUCAUGGUAGGAUACAAGUAAAUCUAAAGCUUCACAGUGAUGUAUGAGUGUCUAAAACUUGGUAACCACAGUCAUGGAUCAUUGUAAUUUCCUGCAGACACACCUAUACAGAGCCCUGUUACUUGAUUUAUGCAGAAGUUUUACACUUCUUAGAUGAAUACAUAAACUGAAUUUUUACAGACAACAAACAAGAGCUUAAUGCCCACGGUGAGAAAAUAAUGAAACAUCCAAAAGUCAUCUAUAGAAGCUCCACUACCUUCAGAUUCAAGACAAAGCUCCUGCCAGCCAAACUUAGGGAAGGCAUCUUCCCAGAUGCUUGUGAUGCUAGAUGUGGCUCUAAGCAUAUAAGGACACCAAGCAGGGGUCUCUCAGAAUUAUUUAACAUCAUUAAUACAGCCUUCCUAAGUUACCCAAUCAUCUGACCAAAUUCUGAAUGUUCAAAUUAAUUAAACUACUAAAAAAAAUAGGUGCAAAUUCCUCCAGACCCUCCUAGGGAAUGAGCUGACUGGAGAUUCAGCUAAAGCAGGUGAUUCAAUUCUGCUGACUGUUAUCAUAGAAUUAUAAAUGGUUUGGUUGGAAGGGACCUUAAACGUCACCUCAUUCCAACCCCCCCUGCCAUGGACAGGGACACCUUUCACUAGACCAGGUUGCUCAAAGACCCAUCCAACCUGUCCUUGAACAUUUCCAGAAAUGGGGCACCCAUAAAUUCUCUGGAAAUCUGUUCCAGUGCCUCACUACCCUCUGGGUAAAAACACUGCUUCCUAAUAGCUAACCUAAAUCUUCCCUCCUUCAGUUUUAACCCGUUCCAUCUUGUCCAGUCACUACACAUCCUUUUACAAAUGCCUCUCC